rnacentral:rRNA from 1 species
AGCAGCCGCGGUAAUUCCAGCUCCAAUAGCGUAUAUUAAAGUUGUUGCAGUUAAAAGGCUCGUAGUUGAAUUUCGGAAUCGACGGAUUGGUCGCGCCUUCGGUGUGUACUGGUCUUGCCGGUUUCUCCCUUCUGACGAACCACGAUGUCAUUAAUUUGGUGUCGUGGGGAAUCAGGACUGUUACUUUGAAAAAAUUAGAGUGUUUAAAGCAGGCAUUAGCUUGAAUACAUUAGCAUGGAAUAAUGAAAUAGGACGUUUGAUCUUAUUUUGUUGGUUUCUAGGAUCGACGUAAUGAUUAAUAGGGAUAGUUGGGGGCAUUAGUAUUCAAUUGUCAGAGGUGAAAUUCUUGGAUUUAUUGAAGACUAACUACUGCGAAAGCAUUUGCCAAGGAUGUUUUCAUUAAUCAAGAACGAAAGUUAGGGGAUCGAAGACGAUCAGAUACCGUCGUAGUCUUAACCAUAAACUAUGCCGACUAGGGAUCGGAUGAUGUUAAUUUUUUAAUGUACUCA